rnacentral:rRNA from 1 species
AUACGUAGGGGGCGAGCGUUGUCCGGAAUGAUUGGGCGUAAAGGGCGCGUAGGCGGCGCGGUAAGUCUGGAGUGAAAGUCCUGCUUUCAAGGUGGGAAUUGCUUUGGAUACUGCCGCGCUUGAGUGCAGGAGAGGUUAUCGGAAUUCCCGGUGUGGCGGUGAAAUGCGUAGAGAUCGGGAGGAACACCAGUGGCGAAGGCGGGUAACUGGACUGCAACUGACGCUGGGGCGCGAAAGUGUGGGGAGCAAACAGGAUUAGAUACCCUGGUAGUCCACACUGUAAACGAUGAAUGCUAGGUGUAAGAGGUAUCGACCCCUUUUGUGCCGGAGUCAACACAAUAAGCAUUCCGCCUGGGGAGUACGGCCGCAAGGUUGAAACUCAAAUGAAUUGACGGGG